UCGAUGACAGCUAAACGGCGUCGUUUUAAGCCCACUGAAGCAGGCUCAAAACGACGCCGUUUCAUGCCUGUUAUAAAAUCAAAAGUUUAUCCUAAAGAACUCAUUUUCUGCCCUCUUUUACAAAAAAACAAAUGAACCCUCUGCUAGGGUUUUCAUUUUUCUCUGCCGCCGCCGCCAGCAAGGCCGUCUACAGCUUCCGUCGUCGCCCCGGUCUCCGAUUGCGACGGAGAGGGGAAAGAUUCGACAACACCAGGUACAUACUGGAAGGAUCGUGUACGACGUGUGGGGGCGACGUGCUGCAACGGAGGCGAUAACUGCUGGAGGGAGAACGUGUGCGGCGCUGGGGGAGAAGGGUUAGGGUUUCUGGAAACAGUUUAGAAUUAGGUUAAUUGGGCCAGGCUAGAUUUGGGUUUGGGUUAAUGUAAUUAUUUUUUAGGGUCUGUUGUAAUUGGGUUAAUGGAUAUUUGGGCCGUGUAAACGGACUGGGCAUUUUUUGUCAUUAUUUGUUUUUAUUUGAUUUGGGCCCCGGGAAAUAAUUGGGUAUCACAAGGAUCAUCUCCAAUGUGAUUAUGAAAUGCAAAAUACUUCCCAAAAUUAA